GCGAGAAAGGUCCCUUAAACAGCAGAUGGCUGUCUGAGUGGUUCUGAAACAUUUAGUUUCUAUUUGAUAUUAACCACAAGUAGUCAGAAAAUAGCUUGGCUCAUGCUACUCAGCAAAUUCUCUCAAGGGCAAGGAUUCAUGCCAUGAGUUUUUUAAGGUCUGAUGACUAAAUCUCCUACUUCAUUUAUUACGGGGGCACUAUCUGUUCUCUGGGGGCAGCACAGAAUAGAAAAGAAACAUUUUGUAGAAAGAGGUUGGAUGAUGAGUGUGCAUCUCUUUCCCCAAUGCUGCAUUUUGUCACUUCAGCCCAGGACGAGAGCAGCCAACUAAAGAGCUUCUGGAUGUUGCAUUGUAAAAGAUAAGAAAAGAAUCCCAUUGAAUGGCUAGCAAGCAGAAGAAUGCAUGUCAGCUCCUUCUGUGAAUACCUAAGGAAUGGAAUGGCAGCCCUGCCCCCCAACUUCACAGACAAUACAAGUACUCACAAGUUUCUAGAAAGUGUGUACAGCAUCCACAUAGUCCUGAGGGAAGUUGGGUGCAGUUUACACCAUUACAAUAAAAUUGGAAAGAGAAGAGAGAAGUAUGAGCUCACUCCACUGCCUGUCUCCAGGGAGAGGUUACAGUGCAAAAGGUAGAGAUGAAAACUAUAAAUUCUUUUUUCUUGAUUUGAACGAAAGUUUCAAUGUGCCUGAAAAACUGUUGCAUACGUCUGUGGUUCUCUGAGGAAGAAGUCAGCACGAGUUCACACUCAGUCAAUAACCUCUUUAAUAAUUUCUAGAAGUAACUGCAAUAUCCAUGGUUGUGCUAUCGUUUUUACUGUUCCCCAAGUAUGUUUUGAUCAGUUGUAGGAAACAAAAUUAAUUCCUCAAGUUUCAAGAUUAACUGGCAAACUCUCAGUGAAACUGACCAGAUUAUCAAGUACUAGAAAGCACCAUGGCAUAGACUGAAUGUGAUAGAAAAUCCAAGUGAGAAAAUGAAUGCAUUUUCUUGUUUUUAUUGUCAGAAACGUAUUAAAUUGAAUUAAUUGUGAUGUGUAAACAUUCCCUUUUGAAUCCGUAAUGAAAUCUCAGUUUCAGAAUAUGAGGAAUCCAGAGCCAGCCAGACACAGACGACGAAGACACAUACCCCUUCACAUUCAGAAAUGAAGUGUUUUGAGGAUCAAUCAUUGAAAAGUGUCGUUCAUGGUGGGAUAUUUGUCAAUUAUAAGAGAAACUGCUACGUGAUGGCACAUCCUCCCAUUACAUUUUCUUACUUAGAAGUAAGAAAUAAAGCCAAUUUUCGUUGCCUUAACGGAAGCA
rnacentral:lncRNA from 12 species